AUACGUAGGGGGCGAGCGUUGUCCGGAAUGAUUGGGCGUAAAGGGCGCGUAGGCGGCCCGGUAAGUCUGGAGUGAAAGUCCUGUUUUUAAGAUGGGAAUUGCUUUGGAUACUGUCGGGCUUGAGUGCAGGAGAGGUAAGUGGAAUUCCCAGUGUAGCGGUGAAAUGCGUAGAGAUUGGGAGGAACACCAGUGGCGAAGGCGACUUACUGGACUGUAACUGACGCUGAGGCGCGAAAGUGUGGGGAGCAAACAGGAUUAGAUACCCUGGUAGUCCACACUGUAAACGAUGAAUGCUAGGUGUAGGGGGUAUCGACCCCUUCUGUGCCGCAGUCAACACAAUAAGCAUUCCGCCUGGGGAGUACGGCCGCAAGGUGGAAACUCAAAUGAAUUGGCGGGG
rnacentral:rRNA from 1 species